UUGACAAGGUCUGAGUGAUUCAAUGUUACAAGACUCCUAAAAGCCACCAUGUACAGAUUUAACAGAAAGGGGGAUUAUUCAAUACCCAACAGAAACUGAACUGACGUGGUCAAACCUUGGAAAAGAGGACUAAAUGAUGACAUAGCACCCAGUGAUAUUGAUACUAAGGGAUAUUAUAGAUAUAGUAGACCUAGAGCUAGGGACGUUAAUUUAAAAGCUUUGGUUUUUGAACUUAUCAUUCUUCCAAAGCAAUUGCUAGAUCUGUGGGCAGGUUUUAUCUUCAAGUACACCAAGGAUAAGUGGAGAUCGAUUGAAGACAUUUG